rnacentral:tRNA from 1 species
GGAGAUGUGUCCGAGCGGUUUAAGGAGGCGGUCUUGAAAACCGUUGAUGUGAAAGCAUCCGUGGGUUCGAAUCCUACCAUCUCCGCCA